UUGACCUCAGAUCAGGUAGGAUUACCCGCUGAACUUAA
rnacentral:rRNA from 3 species